UACGGGGGGGGCAAGCGUUGUUCGGAAUUACUGGGCGUAAAGGGCUCGUAGGAGGCCAACUAAGUCAGACGUGAAAUCCCUCGGCUUAACCGGGGAACUGCGUCUGAUACUGGAUGGCUUGAGUUCGGGAGAGGUGAGUGGAACUGCGAGUGUAGAGGUGAAGUUCGUAGAUAUUCGCAAGAACACCAGUGGCGAAGGCGGCUCACUGGCCCGAUACUGACGCUGAGGUGCGAAAGCGUGGGGAGCAAACAGG
rnacentral:rRNA from 1 species